rnacentral:miRNA from 1 species
GAGAAAGUCCCUGCGUCCCGCAUAUAGGGACACUAUAUGCGGGACGCAGGGACUUUCUC